AGCUGCCGCCGGUCCAGUUCGAAAUUGCAGCUGCUUCGUGUUGAAAUUCCGAGCUGAUUAUGCUGCUGCGAAAAUAUGUGGGGCUGUGCUUUGAAGCUGCCUUUGAUUUCGAGUUGAGGCGAAAAGAACUUAUGAGGCAUUUAGGUUAUGGAAUUUGCGUUCUGAGGAAGGGGCGCUUUCCAAAAUCUAUGUUUUAUGUAUUGGAAUUAUUAUAUAUGGAUACUGGUGUGAGAUAUUGUGUAUUUGGUGAUUGUAUCGGCCUUAUGUAUGGUUUGAUUUGUCUCGAUCGAUUAUGAAUGUUUGUUGGUUGGUUUGUUGUGCGGUUUUGUGAAACUGAAUGAUUUCGAGUUGAUUCCUUUAAAGAUUUGAGGUCGAGUUUAAUCCAUUGA